rnacentral:rRNA from 1 species
UACGUAGGGUGCAAGCGUUGUCCGGAAUUAUUGGGCGUAAAGAGCUCGUAGGCGGUCCGUCGCGUCUGGUGUGAAAAUCCAGGGCUUAACCCUGGACCUGCAUCGGGUACGGGCAGACUAGAGUGCGGUAGGGGAGAUCGGAAUUCCGGGUGUAGCGGUGGAAUGCGUAGAGAUCCGGAAGAACACCGGUGGCGAAGGCGGUCUGCUGGGCAGUUGCUGACGCUGAGGCGCGAUAGCGUGGGGAGCAAACAGG